CGCACAUUGCGCCCACUAGUACUCUGGUGGGCAUGCCUGUUCGAGCGUCAUUUCAACCCUCAAGCCUGGCUUGGUGUUGGGGCUCUGCGCCUGCAGUCCCUUAAAUCCAGUGGCGGACACGCUAGGUCUCCGAGCGCAGUAGUUUCUCCUCGCUCAGGACGGCCGGCGCGCGCUUGCCUCGCACCCAUUUUCCACAGGUUGACCUCGGAUCAGGUAGGAAUACCCGCUGAACUUAA
rnacentral:misc_RNA from 1 species